rnacentral:lncRNA from 1 species
UGCCACUUGCGGCAGGACCAUCGGUUAACAACUUUUAAAUUUAUCCUUUAGCCACCGUUUGGUUCGGGAUUAAGAAAAAGUAGCUAUUCCAGGGAUAGGAUUAAGUUCAGGGUUAAAAUGGUGUUAAAAUUUUUUUGUAUUUGGUUGGAGGUUGGAGUUAGUCUAGGAUAGUGAAAAAAAGUGUUUGGUUGGAGUAGGUGGGAUAAGAAGAUAAUGAUUGAUAAAGAAGAAAAAGGUAAGGACUCGGGAUGCGUGCGGGGUUAAAGUUGGGAGGGGGAGUGGGGUUAAUGAUUGAUAAAGAAGAAAAAUGUGAGGGCUCGGAAUGCGUGCGGAGUUAAAGUUGGGAGGGGGAGUGGGGUUAGUAAACCCCACUAACCCGGUUUGGGGUGGGGUUUACUAACCCCACCCCUUAAGAAUGGUGUUUGAGUAUAAAUUGGGGGUUAAGGGGUUAUUCCAUUCCUUAACCCCCAAGGCCCCAACCAAACGGUGGCUUAAAGUUUACUCUUUUUCGUCCAGUGGAAUAAUAGAAAUUAUUAGCUAUUAUUUAUUUAGAGACCCAUAUUUGUUUCCCACGUAAAAAAGGGUAUCAAGAAAUUGAUGCUCGUGUAUUUGAACUUUACAUGAGCGCAUCUC